rnacentral:rRNA from 1 species
GACGAACGCUGGCGGCGUGCUUAACACAUGCAAGUCGAACGGUGAAGCGAGUGCUUGCACUCGUGGAUCAGUGGCGAACGGGUGAGUAACACGUGAGUAACCUGCCCAUCACUCUGGGAUAAGCACUGGAAACGGUGUCUAAUACUGGAUACGACCAACCCUUGCAUGGGGUGUUGGUGGAAAGAUUUAUCGGUGAUGGAUGGACUCGCGGCCUAUCAGCUUGUUGGCGGGGUAAUGGCCCACCAAGGCGACGACGGGUAGCCGGCCUGAGAGGGUGACCGGCCACAAUGGGACUGAGACACGCACCAGACUCCUACGGGAGGCAGCAGUGGGGAAUAUUGCACAAUGGGCGAAAGCCUGAUGCAGCGACGCCGCGUGAGGGAUGACGGCCUUCGGGUUGUAAACCUCUUUCAGCAGGGAAGAAGCGAAAGUGACGGUACCUGCAGAAGAAGCACCGGCUAACUACGUG